UGCCAGCCAUAUCUACAUCUGGAUUUCCUUCCCAACUGUCACUUCCUCACCCCUCUCCAAGUUCUACACUUUAUUUUACCUGCAUUCCAAAUGGCUUCACUCUGCGCUAGGCAGCACUCACACUUGGCCCCAGGAAAGCAUCGUAUCCAGGGAGACAUUGCCACAAGAUUCAAAGUCCCGCCCAGACCACUUAGGAGCCGAGAAAACUUGAGCAUGUAAUGUAACCUCUGGAGGACCUGAUUUGUGAAGACAAUGAAAAAUAACCCGUAUACAGAUCAUCAUCAUCUUAAACACCCCAGUGCAUGGUACAAAUCCAGACCGGCUCCCUGCCUGUUUCUUCCUGUUUGCUUUUCAAGUCGGAACUCCGCUAACCCGGGGGAUC